rnacentral:rRNA from 1 species
UUCCGGUUGAUCCUGCCGGAGGCGACCGCUUUUGGAGUUCGAUUAAGCCAUGCGAGUCGAGAGCCUUAGGGGCUCGGCAUACUGCUCAGUAACACGUGGAUAACCUGCCCUAUUGUCUGGAAUAACCUCGGGAAACUGAGAACAAGGCCGGAUAACCCACAAUGCCUGGAACGGUUUGUGGGUGAAGAUAGGAUGGGUCUGCGGCGUAUCAGGUCGUAGGGGGUGUAAUGGACCUCCUAGCCAUCGACGCGUACGGGUGUUGGGAGACAUAGCCCGGAGAUGGAUUCUGAGACACGAAUCCAGACCCUACGGGGUGCAGCAGGCGCGAAAACUUCACACUGCAGGAAACUGUGAUGAGGGAACUCCAAGUGCAUGCACUAUGUGUAUGCUUUUCUUAACUAUUAAUCGGUUUUGGAAUAAGGGCUGGGAAAGACCGGUGCCAGCCGCCGCGGUAAUACCGGCAGCUCAAGUGGUCGUCGCUUUUAUUGGGCCUAAAACGUCCGUAGCCUGUUUGGUAAAUCUGUGGGUAAAUCAACCAGCUUAACUGGUUGAAUUCUGCAGAGACUGCCAGACUAGGGACCGGGAGAGGUGUGGGGUACUCUAGGGGUAGGGGUAAAAUCCUGUCAUCCUUAGAGGACCACCAGUUGCGGAGGCGCCACACUGGAACGGAUCCGACGGUCAGGGACGAAGCCUAGGGGCACGAACCGGAUUAGAUACCCGGGUAGUCCUAGGUGUAAACGCUGUGAACUUGGUGUCGGGGAUCCGUAAUGGGUUCUCGGUGCCGGAGUGAAGAUGUUAAGUUCACUGCCUGGGGAGUACGGUCGCAAGGCUGAAACUUAAAGGAAUUGGCGGGGGAGCACUGCAACGGGAGGAGCGUGCGGUUUAAUUGGAUCAACGCCGGA